AGUAACACGUGGGUAACCUGCCCAUCAGAAGGGGAUAACACUUGGAAACAGGUGCUAAUACCGUAUAACAAUAGAAACCGCAUGGUUUCUAUUUGAAAGGCGCUUUUGCGUCACUGAUGGAUGGACCCGCGGUGCAUUAGCUAGUUGGUGAGGUAACGGCUCACCAAGGCAACGAUGCAUAGCCGACCUGAGAGGGUGAUCGGCCACAUUGGGACUGAGACACGGCCCAAACUCCUACGGGAGGCAGCAGUAGGGAAUCUUCGGCAAUGGACGAAAGUCUGACCGAGCAACGCCGCGUGAGUGAAGAAGGUUUUCGGAUCGUAAAACUCUGUUGUUAGAGAAGAACAAGGAUGAGAGUAAAAUGUUCAUCCCUUGACGGUAUCUAACCAGAAAGCCACGGCUAACUACGUGCCAGCAGCCGCGGUAAUACGUAGGUGGCAAGCGUUGUCCG
rnacentral:rRNA from 1 species